GAUGAACGCUGGCGGCGUGCCUAAUACAUGCAAGUCGAGCGAACGGACGAGAAGCUUGCUUCUCUGAUGUUAGCGGCGGACGGGUGAGUAACACGUGGAUAACCUACCUAUAAGACUGGGAUAACUUCGGGAAACCGGAGCUAAUACCGGAUGAUAUUUUGAACCGCAUGGUUCAAAAGUGAAAGACGGUCUUGCUGUCACUUAUAGAUGGAUCCGCGCUGCAUUAGCUAGUUGGUAAGGAACGGCUUACCAAGGCAACGAUGCAUAGCCGACCUGAGAGGGUGAUUGGCCACACUGGAACUGAGACACGGUCCAGACUCCUACGGGAGGCAGCAGUAGGGAAUCUUCCGCAAUGGGCGAAAGCCUGACGGAGCAACGCCGCGUGAGUGAUGAAGGUCUUCGGAUCGUAAAACUCUGUUAUUAGGGAAGAACAUAUGUGUAAGUAACUGUGCACAUCUUGACGGUACCUAAUCAGAAAGCCACGGCUAACUACGUG
rnacentral:rRNA from 1 species